ACGGAGGAUCCAAGCGUUAUCCGGAUUUAUUGGGUUUAAAGGGUCCGCAGGCGGACUAUUAAGUCAGUGGUGAAAGUCUGCAGCUUAACUGUAGAAUUGCCAUUGAAACUGAUAGUCUUGAGUGUGGUUGAAGUGGGCGGAAUAUGACAUGUAGCGGUGAAAUGCAUAGAGAUGUCAUAGAACACCGAUUGCGAAGGCAGCUCACUAAACCAUUACUGACGCUCAGGGACGAAAGCGUGGGUAGCGAACAGG
rnacentral:rRNA from 1 species